UGCUAUAAAUUAUAUGUGCUGACGUUUUUAUGUUACUUGGCUGCCUUGUAGAUGCUGAGUUAAGACCUUUAAUGUUUGGGUUUGGGUGGCAGGGGAUUCUUGCAUUGUCGGACAUCAGACAGCAUUUGGUGUUGUAGGAGUGUCAGCCUGGCAGGGUACAUUUGGCGAGGUUCUGAAAUUAUGUGGAAGAGUAUUGCAUACUCAGCUACUCCAAUCGUUUGGGGAUGGUGGACUUGAUUGCUGAAUCAAUGGUGCCAUGUCAUGCCCCCUAUAUUACCUUUGCCCAAAUCAAAGUGCAUAUAUUUCCACGAGGUACCUCUCAACUCUAAAUUUACUAAUCAAAGAAGUCAAAGCUACACUCCAGCCACUGAACUGGGUUUUACAUCAUUGCGGAUGCAUGAGUGUGUCAUUGGACUGUCAUGAUUUGUUGGUAUUAUUUGCAAGAGGCGUGUUUUAUCCAAUAGGUAUAAUAUAUUUUACUUGUAUUUUUCUGAAGAUUAUUGUAGCGAAGACGUUUGUCAAAAGUAUUCAGUAUUUACAACCCAUGGCAUGUCCCAUCUUAAGCCCCUCGAAUUGACUUGUAAUCACACACCAGACUGGUGUAUCGGCAUUUGCCGUAAACUUUUACUCAAUCUAUAUAAUUCGUUAGUUCCAUUUCAGCUUCCAAAACAUUUGUUGGCUAUUUAAAACUUUGGCAAAGCCCCUUCUCGUAUAUAAUGGCUGGGAGUGUUAGAAGGUACCACGACACUACAACUAAGCAUCAGAGUGUUGAGUACAUUGAUUAUGAGUAGAAGGAUUUUAAGAUAAAUAUGGUAGUGUCUUACCAAUCAUGUGGCAUUAGCUAUUGUUUUGUCCAUUUCUUUUUGCUAGCCAUUUAUCUCUCCCCUACAGUGUAAUUUUUGUAUUGUUUGUAUCACAAAUAUGAAAUUAGCACAGGAUAAUGAUGUGUUUGAAGAAAAACACAUGCUACAGUUAGUAAACUAGAGGUGAGGAGGCUAUUUCAAAUACUGUGGUCGAGAGCGCUCGAGACUUCGAUUAUGGAGGCCAAAUAUUAUGGCAUAUUCUGUUAUUAUAUAGAGCUAGCUAGCUUCAAUUCAAUGGGUGACAGUGAGCAGGAAAAGAGUGUAAUGAUAUAGUCUUGGGAGGGAGAGGAGAACUAGGUGUGGAUUUUAAAGUAGUAAUCAAUCUUGGGCCAUUCAUGCGGUUGCUUUGAUUGUACCAUGCAUGACAAAUUUAGAGUAAAUAAUCUUGGGUUGGAAUUGAUGACUGCUACAGACAGAUAAAAGGGUUGUCGUACACAGCACUGUGCUUGGUUUACCUUGGGCUCAUCAUCAAGGAUGAUGGCAGCAGUCGGGCACUCGGGCCUGAGGAGGCGGUGCUGUCAGCGAGUCUCCGCCGGAGGAGGCGAGGACCAUCAUGAUGUUUCAUAACUUCAA